rnacentral:lncRNA from 1 species
AUUGAUUGCUUCUUUGUCUCAGGAGGUAUAAGAACUGGCAGAUCUCAAAGGGGAAAUUUCUGGUAUCCUGUGUCUUCAGACUUUGUUCUUCUGUUCAAGUAACUCUCUUCCCUUCAUGUAACCUAGCAACUUUUUACAUGACAAAGCCUUGCCUGCCUACCUGCUCUCAGAUCAGCCUGGAAAUCAAGCCCCGAGGAGCCUUUGUCAGAUUUAAACACACAAAUACCACUCCUGGUGUCCUGUCUUUUGGAAUGUCAGCCUUGAUUCCCAUGGGCAGGCUUCAUGCUCACUGUGAUUUAUGCCUAGCCCUGACCUGGGAGAACUUUCACAGAUGGGAUGCUGUGUUUCUCUCAUGAGUUUAGAACACCCAGGGCUUGAAAUCAGACAAUGCCCUGGCUUCGAUUUAAAAAGCCUUUUAAAAAAAUGGAGUCUGACUCUCAGUUCCCCCUGUUCCACCGAAAUGCCCUGUCAUUCACACAGACAGCUGUGGUGGACUGUGCUUCUCAGACCCUUGGUGGGUGAAAAACAGUCGAUGUUGCCUGCUGCUGUAAGACCCCAACUCAUUGUGUUUCUUAGACCCCUAGAAACAAAGCCCAGGAUGGAGUUCUUUGUUCUUUUGCCAUCAGCCCUAAAGAAAGGUGACCCAUUGUGUAAGGGACCAAGAACAUUUACACAACUUCCCCAGUCUUUGUGAUCUAUCCUUCCCCUCACUUUCGGGGAGAGAUGAGCUGUAAUUCACCAUCCCCAUAUUUAUGAUGCUUAUCCUAUCCUUCCCUCACUUUAUGGUUCAUUCUUUAAAAACCUCCACUGCAACUGCUGGGAGUCUAUCUCCUCUGCCCCUUGUGGGUUACGAGCUCAGUCUCAGCAUGCUGAUACUAUUUGAAUAAACG